rnacentral:rRNA from 1 species
GAGUUUGAUCCUGGCUCAGAUUGAACGCUGGCGGCAGGCUUAACACAUGCAAGUCGAGCGGGGGAAGGUAGCUUGCUACUGGACCUAGCGGCGGACGGGUGAGUAAUGCUUAGGAAUCUGCCUAUUAGUGGGGGACAACAUCUCGAAAGGGAUGCUAAUACCGCAUACGUCCUACGGGAGAAAGCAGGGGAUCUUCGGACCUUGCGCUAAUAGAUGAGCCUAAGUCGGAUUAGCUAGUUGGUGGGGUAAAGGCCUACCAAGGCGACGAUCUGUAGCGGGUCUGAGAGGAUGAUCCGCCACACUGGGACUGAGACACGGCCCAGACUCCUACGGGAGGCAGCAGUGGGGAAUAUUGGACAAUGGGGGGAACCCUGAUCCAGCCAUGCCGCGUGUGUGAAGAAGGCCUUAUGGUUGUAAAGCACUUUAAGCGAGGAGGAGGCUACUUUAGUUAAUACCUAGAGAUAGUGGACGUUACUCGCAGAAUAAGCACCGGCUAACUCUGUGCCAGCAGCCGCGGUAAUACAGAGGGUGCGAGCGUUAAUCGGAUUUACUGGGCGUAAAGCGUGCGUAGGCGGCUUAUUAAGUCGGAUGUGAAAUCCCCGAGCUUAACUUGGGAAUUGCAUUCGAUACUGGUGAGCUAGAGUAUGGGAGAGGAUGGUAGAAUUCCAGGUGUAGCGGUGAAAUGCGUAGAGAUCUGGAGGAAUACCGAUGGCGAAGGCAGCCAUCUGGCCUAAUACUGACGCUGAGGUACGAAAGCAUGGGGAGCAAACAGGAUUAGAUACCCUGGUAGUCCAUGCCGUAAACGAUGUCUACUAGCCGUUGGGGCCUUUGAGGCUUUAGUGGCGCAGCUAACGCGAUAAGUAGACCGCCUGGGGAGUACGGUCGCAAGACUAAAACUCAAAUGAAUUGACGGGGGCCCGCACAAGCGGUGGAGCAUGUGGUUUAAUUCGAUGCAACGCGAAGAACCUUACCUGGCCUUGACAUACUAGAAACUUUCCAGAGAUGGAUUGGUGCCUUCGGGAAUCUAGAUACAGGUGCUGCAU